UUUCCGUAGGUGAACCUGCGGAAGGAUCAUUACCUUUCCAUGCAGUGGUGUUAGGUAGGUUAGUUGCUCACGCAGCAAAUCUGUUUAAUAUUUCCUGUAUUGCGCCCUUGUCUCUCAAAUACUAUUUGUUUCCUCGGCAGGCUUGCCUGCCGGUUGGAGUAAACUACAACCUUUUUAAUUUUCAAUCCGCGUCUGAACAUAUCAAUUAUUACAACUUUCAACAACGGAUCUCUUGGUUCUGGCAUCGAUGAAGAACGCAGC
rnacentral:misc_RNA from 1 species